GAUGAACGCUAGCGGCAGGCCUAAUACAUGCAAGUCGAACGGUGUCUUCGGACAUAGUGGCGCACGGGUGCGUAACACGUAUGCAACCUACCUUACAUUGGGGGAUAGCCUUUCGAAAGGGAGAUUAAUUCCGCAUAAGACAGUAGCUGGGCAUCCAGCAGCUGUUAAAGAUUUAUCGAUGUAAGAUGGGCAUGCGUCCAAUUAGUUAGUUGGCGAGGUAACGGCUCACCAAGGCUUUGAUUGGUAGGGGAACUGAGAGGUCAAUCCCCCACACUGGCACGGAGAUACGGGCCAGACUCCUACGGGAGGCAGCAGUAGGGAAUAUUGGGCAAUGGACGCAAGUCUGACCCAGCCAUGCCGCGUGCAGGAUGAAGGCGUUAUGCGUUGUAAACUGCUUUUAUACAGGAAGAAACGACUCUUGCGAGAGGCAUUGACGGUACUGUAUGAAUAAGCACCGGCUAACUCCGUGCCAGCCGCCGCCGUAACAC
rnacentral:rRNA from 1 species